AGAGUUUGAUUAUGGYUUYAAAUUGAACGCUAGCGGGAUGCCUUACACAUGCAAGUCGAACGGCAGCACGGACUUCGGUCUGGUGGCGAGUGGCGAACGGGUGAGUAAUGUAUCGGAACGUGCCUAGGAGCGGGGGAUAACUACGCGAAAGCGUAGCUAAUACCGCAUACGCCCUACGGGGGAAAGCAGGGGAUCGCAAGACCUUGCACUAUUAGAGCGGCCGAUAUCGGAUUAGCUAGUUGGUGGGGUAACGGCUCACCAAGGCGACGAUCCGUAGCUGGUUUGAGAGGACGACCAGCCACACUGGGACUGAGACACGGCCCAGACUCCUACGGGAGGCAGCAGUGGGGAAUUUUGGACAAUGGGGGAAACCCUGAUCCAGCCAUCCCGCGUGUGCGAUGAAGGCCUUCGGGUUGUAAAGCACUUUUGGCAGGAAAGAAACGUCAUGGGCUAAUACCCCGUGAAACUGACGGUACCUGCAGAAUAAGCACCGGCUAACUACGUGCCAGCAGCCGCGGUAAUACGUAGGGUGCAAGCGUUAAUCGGAAUUACUGGGCGUAAAGCGUGCGCAGGCGGUUCGGAAAGAAAGAUGUGAAAAUCCCAGAGCUUAACUUUGGAACUGCAUUUUUAACUACCGGGCUAGAGUGUGUCAGAGGGAGGUGGAAUUCCGCGUGUAGCAGU
rnacentral:rRNA from 1 species